rnacentral:rRNA from 1 species
GAUGAACGCUGGCGGCGUGCCUAAUACAUGCAAGUCGAGCGAACAGAUAAGGAGCUUGCUCCUUUGAAGUUAGCGGCGGACGGGUGAGUAACACGUGGGUAACCUACCUAUAAGACUGGGAUAACUUCGGGAAACCGGAGCUAAUACCGGAUAACAUUUAGAACCGCAUGGUUCUAAAGUGAAAGAUGGUUUUGCUAUCACUUAUAGAUGGACCCGCGCCGUAUUAGCUAGUUGGUAAGGUAACGGCUUACCAAGGCGACGAUACGUAGCCGACCUGAGAGGGUGAUCGGCCACACUGGAACUGAGACACGGUCCAGACUCCUACGGGAGGCAGCAGUAGGGAAUCUUCCGCAAUGGGCGAAAGCCUGACGGAGCAACGCCGCGUGAGUGAUGAAGGGUUUCGGCUCGUAAAACUCUGUUAUUGGGGAAGAACAAAUGUGUAAGUAACUGUGCACAUCUUGACGGUACCUAAUCAGAAAGCCACGGCUAACUACGUG